AUGUGCAGCUGCAUUUGCUAUUGGUGUGCGGGAGCAAUGCCACCUAUCACAGGUACUGCUUCAUCUAAUAAUGGGGGGGGGGGGGACUUGAUUACAUUUCAUUUAUUUGAGCUGAGGCCAGUCAUCGAGUUGCAUUGUUAUGUUUCUGUCAUAUUGUAUGUUCACGUUUUCAUGUCUCUGAUGUUGUUGUUUUCUUUUGGGUUUUUUCAUCAGAGGAGUGUCAACAACAUUGUCCUUGGUGUUCAGCAAUAUCAAACGGCUCUUCUGACGUCCUUGAGAGAAAAAAUGAAGACCAUCCUUGAAAGGCAUCCUGACAGCAAUGUACCUUUACAAGAAGUUCUUUCAACACUGGACAACUUUCAGGAUCCCUUUCCCCUAUGUGCAACUACAAACCUACAGGACCGAGCAACACAGAUGCAUUUUAACCCCGUUACACCUGAGGAGAUCAUAAUUUCCAAGUAUGCCUGUAGAGUUAAAAAGGGAGACUCUAGAGUUCUUGCAAUCAAAAACAAGUCUUUCUACUACAUCCCUCUGAUUGAAAGUCUGAAACAGCUAUUAUCCAAUUCAAGACUAUUUGACAUGCUCAGUGCUGGACCUCAGAGUUGCCCCAAGGCCAGUUUUUUGUAUGACAUCAAUGAUGGAAGCAUUUUCAAAACCCACCCACUGUUUUCGAAAAAGAACUCUGCUUUACAACUGAUACUGUACUCCGAUGAGAUAGAAAUUUGUAACCCCCUAGGUUCACGUGCAAGUGUAAAUAAAUUACUAAUGUUUUAUUACACUUUAGGCAACAUAGACCCCAAGUUUAGAUCAAAGCUGGCUUCAAUCAGACUUCUCGCAAUCGCAAAGUCUAAGGACAUAGACGAGUGCGGGGUAGAUAUUAUACUACGGCGAAUUGAUGAGGACUUGAAGUUACUGUACGAUGGCGUUAGGAUUAACACUGUGAAUGGGGAAUUUUAUUUAAAUGGAGCAGUUGUUGCUGUGUGCGGUGACACUCUUGCCCAGCAUGAGCUUGCAGGAUUCAAGGAAGGAGUCGGUUUUGCAUAUAGCAAAUGUCGUCAUUGUGAGUGUACUUUUGAUGAAAUGCAAGCAAACUUCAAUGAACAGAGUUUCACCAGACGGACAUUGGACGGACACAUUAGGCAAUGCAUUGAAAUACAAAGGGCAACUACUGAAUUCUUAAAGUCCUCGCUCAAAACGACUUUUGGCAUAAAUAGACAAAGCAAGUUAGUUGAUUUCCCAGGUUUUAAUCUCAUAGAGCAAAUGCCACAGGAUAUUAUGCAUAUAAUUCUUGAAGGAGUGGCACCAAUGGAACUGAAGUGUGUGUUGAAAUAUCUCGUUUUAUCUGGAAAUUUGGAGUUGGACAUGUUUAAUGCUGCCAUGCAGAAUUUUCCUUUUUCAUCAGUGGACAUACGUGACAAACCUUCACCAAUAAGUGUUGCUACUUUAGCUUCAAAUGACAAUAGACUCAAACAAUCUUCUGGACAAAUGCUUAUAUUAAUCAAGAUUUUGCCAUUCUUAUUGGACUGUGUUGUAGAGAAAAAUCCAUAUAUCCAGUUUAUUUUGGAUUUAAUUGAAAUUGUUAAAAUACUUUUUGCCCCAGUUGUGUCUUUACAAACUGUGUCCAAACUAAAACAAAUGAUAGAGGAUCAUCUUAAACAAUUCAGACAACUAUUCCCAGAAAAUAAUGUAAUCCCAAAGCAACAUUACAUGCUGCAUCUUCCCUCUCAGAUUAUUGCCCUGGGACCUGUAAUACGGCAUAUGUGCAUGAGAUUCGAGUCUAAACACUGUUUUUUUAAACAAUGGUCAUCCAAAUUAAACUUUAAGAAUGUGUGCAAGUCCCUUGUAAACCACAAUCAGCUGCUGGAGUGUUGUCAAAGUGAAGCAGGAACUGAGCAUCCGAUUUUUGUACAUGAGAAAGAACUAGGUCCUGUAUCAGAGGUUGCUAAUAUUGAGCAUUUACAAUCAAAGGUUGUAGAUUUUUUGGGGAUUGAAGCUGCUGUACAUCAUGCUGUUAGAGUAAAGUGGCUUAUUUUACAUGGUAGCAAAUACAUUUGUGACACGUCUCUGAUUCUCAUUUCAGCAAAUGGUUCAAACCCUACCUUUGGACUCAUAAAAAACAUUUUUGUUGUUAAUAGUGUGUUGUAUUGCUUUGAAUACCAGGUGUAUGAAACCUUGGGUUUCAACAAAGACUUUCUUGCCUAUGAAGUUUCGAUACCUAACCUUGCCCAAGCAACUGAACUGACUGAUGUUGAAAACCUACUUGAUUAUACGUCAUAUUACCCAAUCAAUUUCAGAAAACGUGUCUAUGUUAUGACAAAAUAUAACAUUGAAGAUGUCAUUGCUUUAAAAACUUAA
rnacentral:lncRNA from 1 species